CCUACGGGAGGCAGCAGUGGGGAAUAUUGGGCAAUGGAGGAAACUCUGAACCAGCAAUGCCGCGUGAAUGAAGAAGGUCUUCGGAUUGUAAAGUUCUUUAGUCAGGGAAGAAGUCAAUGACGGUACCUGAAGAAUAAGCUUCGGCUAACUACGUGCAAGCAGCCGCGGUAAUACGGAGGGUGCGAGCGUUAAUCGGAAUUACUGGGCGUAAAGCGCUCGUAGGCGGUAUGUCAAGUCAGGGGUGAAAUCCCCGCGCUCAACGUGGGAACUGCCUUUGAAACUGGCAAACUGGAGUGUGUGAGAGGAUAGUGGAAUUCCAGGUGUAGCAGUGAAAUCCGUAGAUAUCUGGAGGAACAUCAGUGGCGAAGGCGACUUUCUGGCACAUAACUGACGCUGAGGAGCGAAAGCGUGGGUAGCAAACAGGAUUAGAUACCCUAGUAGUC
rnacentral:rRNA from 1 species